rnacentral:rRNA from 1 species
AGUCGAGCGAGUCUGCCUUGAAGAUCGGAGUGCUUGCACUCUGUGAAACAAGAUACAGGCUAGCGGCGGACGGGUGAGUAACACGUGGGUAACCUGCCCAAGAGAUCGGGAUAACACCUGGAAACAGAUGCUAAUACCGGAUAACAACAGAUGAUGCCUAUCAACUGUUUAAAAGAUGGUUCUGCUAACACUCUUGGAUGGACCUGCGGUGCAUUAGCUAGUUGGUAGGGUAACGGCCUACCAAGGCGAUGAUGCAUAGCCGAGUUGAGAGACUGAUCGGCCACAUUGGGACUGAGACACGGCCCAAACUCCUACGGGAGGCAGCAGUAGGGAAUCUUCCACAAUGGACGCAAGUCUGAUGGAGCAACGCCGCGUGAGUGAAGAAGGGUUUCGGCUCGUAAAGCUCUGUUGUUGGUGAAGAAGGACAGGGGUAGUAACUGACCUUUGUUUGACGGUAAUCAAUUAGAAAGUCACGGCUAACUACGUGCCAGCAGCCGCGGUAAUACGUAGGUGGCAAGCGUUGUCCGGAUUUAUUGGGCGUAAAGCGAGUGCAGGCGGCUCGAUAAGUCUGAUGUGAAAGCCUUCGGCUCAACCGGAGAAUUGCAUCAGAAACUGUCGAGCUUGAGUACAGAAGAGGAGAGUGGAACUCCAUGUGUAGCGGUGAAAUGCGUAGAUAUAUGGGAGAACACCGGUGGCGAAGGCGGCUCUCUGGUCUGUUACUGACGCUGAGGCUCGAAAGCAUGGGUAGCGAACAGGAUUAGAUACCCUGGUAGUCCAUGCCGUAAACGAUGAGUGCUAAGUGUUGGGAGGUUUCCGCCUCUCAGUGCUGCAGCUAACGCAUUAAGCACUCCGC